rnacentral:antisense_RNA from 1 species
CUUCACCGACCCCAGCAGCAGCGGCAGUUGGGGGUCACGGCUCUGGCCGUACGUCGCCAGUAGCGCCUGCGCCUC